rnacentral:rRNA from 1 species
GUACUUGUACCUGGUGGCGAGCGGCGGACGGGUGAGUAAUGCCUAGGAAUCUGCCUGGUAGUGGGGGAUAACGCUCGGAAACGGACGCUAAUACCGCAUACGUCCUACGGGAGAAAGCAGGGGACCUUCGGGCCUUGCGCUAUCAGAUGAGCCUAGGUCGGAUUAGCUAGUUGGUGAGGUAAUGGCUCACCAAGGCGACGAUCCGUAACUGGUCUGAGAGGAUGAUCAGUCACACUGGAACUGAGACACGGUCCAGACUCCUACGGGAGGCAGCAGUGGGGAAUAUUGGACAAUGGGCGAAAGCCUGAUCCAGCCAUGCCGCGUGUGUGAAGAAGGUCUUCGGAUUGUAAAGCACUUUAAGUUGGGAGGAAGGGCAGUUACCUAAUACGUGAUUGUUUUGACGUUACCGACAGAAUAAGCACCGGCUAACUCUGUGCCAGCAGCCGCGGUAAUACAGAGGGUGCAAGCGUUAAUCGGAAUUACUGGGCGUAAAGCGCGCGUAGGUGGUUUGUUAAGUUGAAUGUGAAAUCCCCGGGCUCAACCUGGGAACUGCAUCCAAAACUGGCAAGCUAGAGUAUGGUAGA